CUGAAGCUUGAUUUUGAGGGAGAAUGUCUCUCUCUCUCCCCCCCCAGAAUGGUGGGAAAGAAAAUCAGAACCAUACCUGGAUGCCAGAGGGCUGAGCCGUUGGGAGCUGAGCAGACAGAACCUUUCUUGUAAGCUGCACCAAUGCAGGAGGAAGAUGGUGAAGGAGACUCACACAGCGCAGGACUCUGCAGCAGACAGAGGUUGGUGGCUCUCUGGCAGGAGGCACUGAAAUGUGGAUCGUAAUGCUGACCCCAACACAAGGUCUCAUGUCUGUGGGGCUUAGGACUGAGGUGGUGCCCACCAGAGUGGGACAAAGGAAAUUAUCAGAGAACCUCUGAAGAUUUUUUCUUCAUGAAGGGAAGGCAAGACUGAAAGACAAGGAAGAGCAGCCCAGGGAAGAAAUGCUCUCCCACAAUGUGGCAUUGUGGCUGUCAUCAAAACACCUUCCAUUCUGACUGUCGACACUGAAGUGAAGAUAAGCUUUCAAAAGGUUGGUAUACAUCCUUG
rnacentral:lncRNA from 12 species